rnacentral:lncRNA from 1 species
AUAAUUGGAGGAGGAGGAGGAAGUGAAGCAUGAUUUCUUGUUCCUCGAUCGAAUCGUGGAAUAUCAUCUUCAUGUGGAAUGCUUGUUCCACGGGAUUUGGGAAGACCAUAGUUGUCGAACUUUGACAUCUACAAAACGGGAGAAAACGAAUUCAAGUUAGUUGAUUGAUUGAGUCCUUAGUAAAUCACCCAAAUGAGAUACUAAGGCUAGGACCCAACACAAUAUUCUACAACUCGGGAGAGGGAUGCCGUAACCCUAAUUGCAGAAUAUUUGAAGGUAAGUGAAUGACGAUUCACUAAUUUCCACCAUGAAAAACGAAAAAGAAAUUUAAGUUUUAAAUCUAUGAAAACUCCUAGAUCCUUUGAGAUUCAUUGAACUUUCAAUGGCAUGUUUAAAUCUCGAUAUGCCCCUCUUGUUUGUGACUGGGAUGCCGAGGAUCACAAAGCGGGUGUGAAUAACCAUGCAAACUUACAUGGUGCCCUCACAUGUUACAGUCACCUAUUCGAUGUGCCGGUAAACCACACACGCUCCACCGAACUAUGACAAACAUUGAGUCACCCUUUGCUACCUUUGCUUAGAACCAUUUAGUGUGCCGGUAAACCACACACGCUCCACUAACGUCUUCGCAAGGGCACAAAGUGUAAUUUCAUGGAAUUGCAUCAAUUCACUUUUGCCUAAGUAACUAAGAUUGGGAAUUUGUAAAACAUUUAGUUACUUUUGUACUUCAUUAUACUUAUAAUGGAAGGUUUUGUCCUAUCCUACCCGUUCGGCUAACGACCCUCCACUAGUCAAGAGUGCGGUGGGUAAGAGUGGAUACCCAUUCAAUCGCCAUUUUAUAGGCAAUUUCCUUAAACACCCCUUAUAGACCAGCUUCGUGAAUGAGGCCUACUAACGGUAAGACUGACUUUUACUCAUACAUAUAUAUAAUGUUAGACUUUUAAUGUUAUAUAUAGUAUAGGGUGUAUUUUACACUUUUAAAAUACUAGGUGGUCAAAUUUAACAAUUAUACUUUUAAUUCAAUUAAAUUGUAAACCUAAACUUUUAUGGAUUUAUUAAACCUCUUUUAAUUAUACACCUUAAUUAAUUAAUAAAACCAUAAGGGUGUGAUUUGAACUUUUCAAAACAAUACUAGGGUUUUAGAAUUUAACAUUCCUAAAUUAAACUUUUAAUCAACUUUUAAAUUCCAAAACUUGAGGGCAAGUUUUGAAACAUUUCAAAACAUUAGGGUUUAGAAUUUAAAUAUACAUCAAAAUUAAACUUUUAAUCAAAAUUUAAAUUCCAAAACUUGAGGGCAAGUUUUGAAACCUUUUCAAAACAUUAGGGUUUCAACUAUUUAAAUUUCAAAACAAAACUUUUGAGUUCAAAUUUAAACUAUAAAACCUAAAGGGGAAAAUUGAAACUUUUCAUAACACAAGGAUCAAAUAACAAAUAAUAUAAAUUAAACAAUUAAUUUUAUCAUUAUCUAUAUUUGACCUAAUUUCAAUUUCUUGCAAAAUAAGUUACCCAAUUAAUACAAAUAAUCAACUUUAAUCAUAUAAGGAAGUUAUUAUCUAAUCAAUUGGUAAUUAUCUUUUGUUUAAUCAAGGAUAUACUCAUAAAUAUGUAUAAAAUCGGAUUUUAAUGAUCUAAAACAGAUAAGGCAAGUAUCCAUGAGUAAAACAGCAAGAAAUCCCGAAAAUAGCUCCAUCUGACGCUCGAACUCGCCGAGUACCACACUGGACUCGCCGAGUUGAGGCCUACUCGCCGAGUACACUGUGGUACUCGCCGAGUUCAUCAGGCAGGGAGCUCAAAAAUCGAUUUUGCAACUUGAACAAACAUACAAGGCAUCAAUACAAUAGAAACCAAUCAAGGCUCUGAUACCAUUGAUGGGUUUUAGCCAUAAGAACAUCCUAUGUGCUCAUACAAACCCUAAUGCUUGGAUCUAGGUUUCUCUAUUGUACAUGCAAUUCAUCCAAGACUAUAAACCCUAGAUCUAGCAUAUGAUAAUCAAUAUAACAUAUAAAUUAGGGUUUAGAUCAUACCUUGAUUGUUAUGUAGCAAUAACAAUCUCAAAUCCUCCUUGUAAUGACUUUAGAAAGCUUAGAGUCACAAAUGUCACUCCUCUAAUGGUUCACAAACACCAAGAGCAAGAGGAUGAAGAAGAUAAGAGAAGGAGGCUGCCCAAAACGUGUGGAAACCCUAAUCAAUUAGUUCACCACGUUUUUGGGGCUUAAGGGUCCUUUAAAUAGUGAGGCUAUUAGGGUUAUCUAACAAGGAAACCCUAAUUUGGAUGCUUAAGCCCUAAGCAACCCAUGGACUCCUUCCUUAAAGGCCUAGGACGAUUUCUAAUGGGUUUCCCCAUAGAAUUCGUCCACCCCUUUAAUAUGGAGUCCAUUAGCCCAAUAUUCAACUAUCAUAAAAUUGACAGUUCUAGUCCCUUAAGUUUAAUUAAUGUCUUUUAGUCACAAACUUAAUUCUUAUUAAUUCUUGACUAAUAUUAAUUAAACAAUAUGAUUUCUCCUUUAAUAUAUUAUUCUCAUAAUAUAUUAAUAAAUCAUGUUUAAUCAUUUCUCUCCAUAAUUCAUCCUAUCAAGUUGCUUUGGUGAAGGCAACCCAAAAGGACCAUGCACCAUUGGGUCAAGUACAUACCAAAAUAGUUAGGGACUUAGACACUAAUCCAACANNNNNNNNNNNNNNNNNNNNNNNNGCCGCGGCCGCUGUCUCUGCAAGAGCCGCGUAUCGCUCAUCAAAAUACUCAACCAUGGCGGUCUUGAUCGACCCAAACAUUUCCGGCAACUCAGCCCGGAACAUAGCAACAACCUCAUCAUGCAGGAUGUCCCGAAUCCUAGCAUCCAACUCAUCCGUACUCAUCUGACCAAUUAUCUCGGGUGGUGCUGAUCCAUCCUGACCACUCUCUCCUGAUCCCGAUCCCGAACCGGAUCCUGACUCGAAACGUCUCACAUCCGCCAUACUGAAAUGAACCAUAAGAAUCUCAGAUACCUCGGAUAACCGCCGAGAACUAACCUCUAACCAACAACCUAGGGGUUGUGACUUCCUUGACAUGCGUAUGGGUCCUGUGCUUUCAGUAGUACGAGCCCAUACUACCUUCCACGCCUACCCAUAUUUGUCUCAAGUAUCACUACAACGCCCUAAGGACAACAUACAUAACAAGCACUCAAUCCUCACCCUUAGAGGAAUACCGAAUACCUCAUAUCAAGGAAACCCUAGGCUAACAGGCAUCAUAAAUCAGGCAAUUCUAUCAUGCAAUUCAUGAAGAUCCGUAGCCUAGUACUAGCAUGCUGUUCUAACAUAUCUCAAAAACAAAUAACUUGUAUGGUAUUUUGGGGUAACAUACUGGCUCCAGCUGAUCGUACCCUCUGUGUCCCCCUUUACUUAUUUUGAAAACCAUUUGAAAACCAUUUUUGAAAACCUCUCCUUGAUUUGAAACUGGAUUCACACGAAUGUUCUUCCAAUUCACUCAAACCAAGGCUCUGCUACCAACUUGUAACGACCAAAAAUUUCAACCAAUUUAAAACACUUUAUUUCAUUCAAAACCAUUACGUUCAUACAUCUUGUUUUCAAAAUAGUUUAAACAUCAGAGUAUCCCCCAGAACCAUAUCACACAAAUCAUAAAACAUGAGGAGUGGUACGAUCAUGCCUUCGCCUUGCCAAGAUCUCCUGAAGCACCUGAAACAAUAAACCACAACUGUAAGCCCAAAAGCUUAGUGAGUUCCCCCAAAGCACCCAUACACACAUAAAUAUAUGCAUACAACAAAGAACAACAUACUACGGGUCCAAUCAACCUUCCAGUUGGAAUACCCUUGCCCCUCAACCAUCGGGUUGGAAUGCCCAUACACCUAUCCAUACAACAAUAACUACUAUGGGUCCAAUCAUCCCUCGAGAUGGAAUACCCCAGACCCCUCAACCAUCUGGUUGGAAUACCAACGUACUAUGAGUCUAAUCUUCCUACCGGGAUGGAAUACUCCUGGCCCAUAACCAUCUGGUUGUAAUGCCAAUCUAUACUAGCAAACAGGCACACAUAACAGGCGACCACAUAACACUCUAUAGAACCAACAUACUAGGGCCCAAUCAUCCUACCAGGAUGGAAUACCCUCUGCUACUGCUCAACAUACAUAACCCGCAGGUAACCUCCUUCCAGCGUACAUAAGGCAUGACCAACUACAAGUCUAUAAAUAACCACCACCCAACUAUCAGGGCGCUGAUCCGACAGAACUAGCCAUCACUUAACUAUCUAUUCCUCUAGGAUACUAAGCUAACAAGGCAUAUUCUCGUAUCAAUAUCCUAUAUACCAGGAUACUAGCAAGCAUAUCAUCACACAACAUAACAAGCUCUAAACAACAAUCCAAAGGGCCGGCCUUGGUGCCUUAGAACCUUGAGUACAGUGAGGAAAACUCACCUUGAACUACUGAAACACUGUUGGUACCCUUCUGACUGCUAUCUGACAAUCCCCGCACUGCUGCUCCUCUAGCGCCUCGAACUAUCAAUGCCACAAAAACACUUAGCCCCAAAACAAUAUCCUUCUAAGGGUAAAAUGACCAUUUUACCCUUAACCCAAACUGGUCCAAAACUAAGGUCCAAAACCACAACAUGAAAAGCCCAACACUAGAAAAGAUUCUCAAGCCCACUAGUGACCCACUAAUGGCCCAAUUGCUACAUUUGGCCCAAUCCCUUAAUUGGCCUCACCCUAAGCCCAAAUUAUAUUCCUUGGCCCAUAUAAUAUGAUUUAUGUGGGCCCACUAAGGCCCAAAUACCCAAACAUGCCCCAAACCACGACCCAAAACCCAUGAUCCAACAGAUAGGGUUACGCGGGGCGUAAAUCAAUGUACACUUAGCGUAUAGGCUCGAUGAUGGUACGUUGGGCGUACCUGCACGUACGCUCAGUGUAGUGCUAUGCUAAGUCAUUUCCUCAUUAAGUGCUUAACACUCCAAACCAGGUGCAAUAAUCACAGAUCCAAGUCCAUUAAGAUGUCUUAAGCUAUAAAGUCGGCAACUUGGUGGCUUGCAACCCACUAAAUGAACCCAAACUUGAAAUAUGACAUCAUACUUCCAUAAAGGUGGCUAGAUCUCAUGCAUGAUCACAAAUGAGCACUAAAGGUUGAAACUUUACUGCAUAAAGGACUCAUAUGAUACUAAGGGUGGCAACCCUAGACUUAGAAACGUGCUGGAGUCAUAAAGAUGCAUUCUUGGGACCAAAAAGUCCAUAAAAUUGUACCAAGAGAGAUCUAAGAGAUUAUUCAUCAAGCUCAAAGCUUUUUACCUUGAAGAGGUCCGAAAUGAAACACUUGUCCCAGAUCUAUAAGCUCUAGCUUCCAAGGUUCCUCCUUCCCAAUCUUCUUCCUUUCUCUUCCAAGCUAAAAACCACCAAGAUGAGCUUUUCAAGGCCAAGAUCUCUAAAAAUGGAGGUUGGAACGUUCUAGGGUUUCUUCUGAGGUUAGGGAGGCUGAUAUGGGGGCUAGGGUUGAAGCCAUUAUGUUCUAUUUAUAGUGGCUCAACCCAAAUUAGGGUUAAUGAACUUUUGCGUAUGCUGGGCAUACGCCUCACACCUCCGCGAUCCAAAGACCUGCUACGCUGGGCGUAACCCAGUUUACGCUGGGCGUAGCCACGCGUGUCCAAAAGCAUGCAUGCCCCUUUCCUCAUCAACCUUUUCCAUUAUGUGCCAUAAAUGUCAAUAUCUUCAAAGUGUCAUAAGUCCUUUAUUCUAAGUCUGUUUCCGACGAACUUUAUAUCCACGAAAAGGUGGCGAGAAGCCCUACGCUCUAGCAAGCCACCCUGGUCCGAAACCUUCUCGAAUGAAACCCGUUGCCCAUAAAAGACCGAAAGGCCCUUACUCUUGAUCUCGGGAAUCCAUAAAUAAUUACUUUUAGAAUGGAGCGUUACAAUUCUCCCCCACUUAAAUAUGAUUUCGCCCUCGAAAUCGCCAAUUGCCAACUCUGGCUACCCAAAAUCCCGAAAGGCAAAUUUAUGUAUCUGAAACCUCCUCAGAAGAGACUAUGGAUUCAUAUUUGUAGCACUCAUCUAUUUCAUCCUCUUUUAAUUCUAGAAAGGGUAAAAAUCAUUUUGUGUAUCUUCUCACCUAUUCGACAGUCAAGAUGCAGUUGGGUAAUGUUAAAAUAAAGACGCUUUGCAAUUAAACAAAAGAUGUUUCAUUGUUUUAAGUUUUAACUAAGCUAAAUUGUCUUGUUUCAAAUAAAUAACAUCAUCUCUAGACCUAUUUAACUCUAACCCAUGCUUCUCUAUCCACAUUCGUCUCUCUUCACUUUUACUUGUUAUCCUGCUGAUUUGGCUAGUGAUGUUAGAAUUGUUUAGACAAGCUCUCUUUAAACUAUCACUUAAACUAGAGAAAGUAUAAUUAAAAUCAUUUAAUUCAGAUUCAUAGCGUGUGGCAGGAAUAUUACGUGAAUGAAGUAUGGAGUGUACCUUGUUGAUGACAUUUUUACACUCCUUCACCUGUUCUAAAACAGGCCUAGCUACGAAACAGCUUUCGGUAGGACGACCUGCAUCAGUUGCGGAUUCCUUCUACUCUGAGACUCCACUUUGCACCAUCAAACAUUUCCCAACAUACUCCUUCCCAACAGCCUUUGCAACAAAGCAUUCACCAUGCAUCGACUUUUGGACUUCUUCAUCUUCCGAAUCAGUUGACCAUACCUCAACUUGUCCAAACUCAUCCCCAUCCUCCUACACGACCAAAGCAGGUUUCAAAUUCUCAACAUUCUUGCUCUUCAUCAGUUCUUCUAUCUUUCGAAGAUAGUAAGCUUCACUCUUCUCUUCUUCCUUCUUCUCAUUCAACCUUCUCAGCAUGCAUUCUUUGGCAAAAUGGUUUUUACUAUGGCAAUAGUUACAAUCACAACCAUAAUCAUCAAGCAGAUUUUCUCUUGCUUUUCUUCAUCCUUUUGGGAGCUUCUGAAGCCUUCAUCCCUUGAUUUCUCCGAGUUAAAGUUUCCUGACCUGUUUCUAUUUUUGAAUCUUCUAUAGUUCUUUUUGAAGAACCUUUUGGGAUUAGAAACUAUCAGUGCUUGUUCUUCCUUGGUAAGUUCAAAAUAUGAGAGAUCAGAUUCUAAAUCGUCUUCUGAAACCUUUUUGCCCUUCGUAACUAGAGUCAAUGAUCCCAUGUCGGACACAACUUUCACGUCCUUCAUCACUUCGUCUUCAUGGGAUCUAAGGAUACCCACUAGUUAUGUCAAAGAGUAGCUCUUGAAUUGUUCAUGAGCUUUCACAAUUGAUACAACCACUUUCCAUUUAGAUGUUAAGCCGUUCAUAAAAGUAACUUUCUACUCAAUCUUUUCAUGUUUAAGAUUGUGCUUCAACAUCCUACUUAGUAGAUGAUUGAAAUGAUUAAAGGUCUGAUCUAGUUUCUCAUCUGGCUUCUGAACGAAAGCCCCAAACUCCGAAAGAAGUAAUGUUUGAACAGAGUGUUCAAGUACUUUAUCGUUACUACAAUUCGGAAUGAUGGGGUAGGUAUAUAACUCUGAUUCUAUGUACUAGCUAAGUGUCCCUAGAAGCAUGAUGUUGCAUGUUGACCAAAACCUCUAAGACUCUAUGUUGAAGCCUUAAUGAAACUCACUCCGAAAGUUUCUUCCUAAUUAGGCUAAUACUCACAUAAGUCAUUGAGCUACCUUACUCUUCUCAUUUCAAGUUAAGAGUUAACUGAUCAGUCAUGCACAAUAUAGCAGAGGUACAUUUCUAUCUUCAGAGCCACCUUAUCUUUUCUCCAUCACCUUCACUUCCACAUUUGUAACCCCUGAAACUCUCAUAAAUUGCCACGUAGGUUUAUGGUUACACAAAUUAUGUGUUUAUGAUCUUCAAAUUGUUAUCACCACGAUUUGAGUGAAACCCAAAAUCCAAAUCCUAUUUAUGUAUUGACAGUGAACAAUAAAUAUGUUCCAAAUUUUUCACCAUGGAAUUGAUGACAUUCAACCCUCGUGGCUUGUACCUUGAAAUCUCAUUAUUUUAUUUUUGCGAGAUCUUAAUGGAAUGUUCUCAACCUAAGACAUUUCUUCCCAAUAGAUCCAGUUUCUAUUUUUCUUUGAGAUUUCGAUUUUGUCUAGCCAUUUAAAUGAAUUCUAAGCAUACUUGUUGUUAUGGCUACACUAGUCAGACAAGUACUUCUUCCAUACUUUUGGACUUAUGUUGAGUUUCGUAGUUUGGUUGAAGCACAGGCGCCCAUUAAAGCCUAAUGAAAAGAAGCUUUUCACUAUGCAAGCAUUUUCGAGUCUCUCUUGACCCCGAAGGAAGAGAUCAUUGCCCAUGAUCCAUCUGUUUUUAUGUUAAUUUUAUAUUAACAUCACAGUAUCCAAAAUAUAUUUGUUUUAUUUCUUUAUCUUUGGCACACUCUUGCACGAAAAUCCUUGUGAUUUUCCAUAGUCUGGUUUCAAUUAUUCCGAAUGGUUACUUUCAGAUUCGGAGAACAGGUAUUGACAAGAUAUUACGAAUGCGCAUAACUGAAAUGGCGGAUUUCAAGGGAUAAGAUUUUGAUUUGGGCGCGUGAAAUUUUCAAACGGUUCCUGACGUCACGCCUGUCUAUUACGCCGCCUAACACACUCUAACUGUCACGUCUUUUCGAGCUACUUUUACGGGAUUUGGAAACGCCAAACACCAGAUUUCUCUCACCUGUCAAACCGUAUAAAAGGAAAAUCGACGUUCAUUAUCAUUUACCACUUUCAAGCUUCCAAAUUCUUCGGCAAGAAAAACUCUCUCUCUUUCUCUUUCUCAAGCACUACUCAUCUUCUUCAUCUGCAUCAAUGGCUGCUUCAUCUGAAACUCCAUCCGUGGCUGACCAAACUGCUUCAUCGGGAUUAUUAAACAUCAUAUCCAACCAAAAUCUCAUCUUGGAUCUUGACUCAACGAAAUACGCCGUCUCUCUCCAGCCGAUGAUUGAGUGUCUUCGUCACUCUCCUUUUGGCUAUGGAUCUCACCAUGGCGGAGAAUGUCCCCUUGCUUCAUCUAUCUAGGGCAUACUCAACUGCAAGUUAUCAGGAAGGUGAGUCUGUGAUUACCUUUGAGAUUGAUUCCCACAAAACAUCAGUCUCCAAGUCUCGAUUCAGCCGAUUGCUAGGGUUUUCUCAAGCUAGGGAUCUGGUUGAUCCGAAGUCCAUCUCUUCUUCUACAAUGUUGGAGAUGUUUUACCAAAUGGGUUACAUGGUAAAUCUAGCCAUUUUAUUCAAGUUCAAGAAGCCCAACCUACCUCCAAUGUGGAAUGGCCUCUUUACCCUUCUUUUCAAAAGUUUUUUAGAGCGGGUCAUGUGCUCGGACAAUGCCAAUAAGCUUUUCUGCACUAUGAUCUAUGAACUCUACCAUGGGUACUCUUUCGACGACAAGACACUCAGAGAUUUUGUGUGCUCGGUUCUGGUUCGUCAUCGUCCGCAGAGCCAUCUCUAAACUCAACAUAUCGGUGACUGAGGGAUGUAUUGUCGCAGCUAUUCUGAUCUUUCACACUUUAAACUUCAUCGUGUCUGAUCCUACUAAGUUCGCCUUUAUUUGAUCUCUUCCAGAGGCAAUGCUCAAUUGUGUUCUAACAGACAACGAGCUCAUCAACAAGUAUCAGAAGAAAUAUGCAUCAGGUCCUCGCCCUUUAACACCUGAGAUGCAAAACUCUUUGGAGGAAGCGAAUAAGCCUAAGAAAGGAGGUAAGUGAAAGAGGAAGGUUGGACCUUCCGAACCAGCUUAAACUCUGAAGAAGAAAGUCAAAAAGGCCGCUCGUAAGACAUGAUCACCCUUUCCAGUCGUUGAAGAGGAUUCAGAGUCUCAUACCAUUUCUGAUGUUCGGAGAAUAAAGCAAGUCCAACGUGAAACUAAAUAUACAGUAGUAUGUUCGCAACCAUGGGUCUCGGAGCUCAUUUCCAGUCAGACUACUACGAAGGUAACUUCUCCGACUCAUACUUUUGUUCCCUCACCAAAUGAAACUUUUCAUGUUCUUUCUCCUCCACCUUCUCCUACUACUACAUCUACACCAAUCACCAUUGCUCCAUGUCCGAAUGUAUCUGUGGGAGUCUCGCAACCACAGAUCUCCAUUGCGAAAACCACUCCUCUUUACACCGAUUCCACCUCCACAACCACGAGUACACCACCAAUAACUGUCAACGUAUCUGAUACGGGGGCAGGUGCUUCUGGUGUUAAGAUCGGUCCUAGCUCUACUCCAAUCUCACCACUAUACAAUGAUAAUCUGGAUACCAUCUUUGGAGAUGAUUAUGAUGAUUUCCAAGACUUCCACUACAGCCCAUUCAACGUUCAUCCAUCAAGUGAUGACGAAGAUGCACCUAUGACGAAGGGGCUAUUCAAAGCCCUCAAUGAGAAGUUGGAUACUUUACUUGAGUCUUCCAAAUCAUCAUCUGGCAAUGACUACUCCUUUGAGUCUGUCAAGGCAUUAAUCGCGACUCUCACCAAGGAGCAUUCCAAAAGUCUUGAUGCCUCUACCAAAGCUGUGGAAAAUUCAGAAAAGACCGUUCAUAAGGCGACUGAAAAUGUCGAAAAACUAGUGAAUGAUGUAACUGAGUUUAUGGUGGACUUUCAUCGAUCCUCAGACAAAAACAUUGAAGUUGCGAAUAAAGUCAUUACGAGUCUUGUCUUGACUCUUCAAACUGAGAAAGCUGCUCUCUCAAAGGUUGGCACUGAAAUUCAGGCUGACAAUGCUGAGCUGCAAACUUCUAUUACUUCCCGGCUUGAUAAGCUUUAAGAGGACCUUGCUAUCAAGAAUUCGCUUAUGGAUAAACUUGCGGUGAAAACCGAGAAGAUCAAAGUUCUUUCUGUGCAACUGUCGCAUGCACAAUAGAAGAAUGAUGAGCUUAAGUCUGAAAAGGAUGUGAUAAAAAGCCGUGUUGGAGAAUUUAAAUCAACUCUUGCUAAAUCUCAUCGAGACUCGUGAUUCUUUACUUACGGUCUCCGUUUGCCAACAUCUGGCUAAUAAACUUAAACCCUUCUUCUCAAUGUUCAAUCGUUUAGAAGGUGUUUCAGAGUCUAGCAAACACCCGAAACAAGAGAGAGAAGUCAAGAAACUAGUUGCUGAUCGGUCUGGUGAAAAUGAACAGUAACCGACUCCAAAUGAUAUGAAGGGUAAUGAAGCUUCAGGAUCGAAAAACAAAGGAAAGUUGAUCGAUGAUGAUGAAGAAGAAGAAGAUGAUGAAGGUGCAAAGCUCAAACGAAAAUCUCUUUAUAAAGAGCUUGAUGAAAACCUGCAAAUUGCGAGAGAAGCUGAUGCUCGUGAAAAAGAGCUCCGUGAUGCACAGGUAACACUGGAAACUCAAAAGACUCUUUUCCCUCCCUGGACCGUGGAGUGGAUUAUGAACGAAGUUAUCGACAAUCUGAGUACUUCUGGUUGGAGCCAGUUAUUUCGUUUGAUCCGGAGAACACUUUGGAUUCCCAACUUGAUCUACCAAUUACUCCGAAGGCGUUCCUAUUUCGUUGUUUUGAUAAAAUUGAGAAAGCACCCACUACAGACUACGACGUCAACCAUUCGCUUUUCUCAUUCUACCUCAAGCACGGGAAGCCUCAGUAUCAAACUUGGAGUUUAAAGAAAAUUACAAAUGUGUAAGUCAUCAGGCCAAUUGAAACGAAGAGCUUUAUCAAUGCUAAAUUCAAAGUUGUAUGUGGAUCAAAAAGUUCAAUUUUUGAGUUUACACUCGCAGAUUUGUCGUGCCUUAACCCAUAUGAUUUGAUUUCAUUGUUCCAUCUCUUAUUAAAGGAUAAACAAAAAUUCGAACCCCUCGUGGCACAUCUUAAAAGGAUGUUGAUCUCCUACAUUCACGAAGUUGUGAUAAUGGAUGUGGAGAUAGCGGCUGUUUUACGAAAGAAACCCACUGUGCUACCAAAAGAAGAUCUGAAUGAUGUAUCCAAAAUGAGGUUGGGUAAAAUUGAGAAAGAUAACUGGAGUAUGGCAUUUCAGCAAAGUGCUAGAGAUGGUACCAAUGUUCAGAAAUGCUUAUUUUCUUUACCGGACAAACAUCUAUACUCUUCUUCCUGUUUGAACUACAUUGUGGGGAUAACCGAUUAAUGCAAGGCGAAUGAUGCUGCGGAUAAAAAGUGCUUCAAAGAUAUGAUAAAGUGGUACAUCUCAGUUCACAACACCUUGCUUGGUUUAAUGUCGAAACCUUUCAAGGUUCAAAAGUGUGUUCAACAGUGAAGAAUCUUCCUUCCUUAUUGACACAAAGGGGGAGAUUGUUGGGAUAUUUAUGGUGUUGUGUCAAUAUUGAUUAUGCGUGUAUUUAGUCUUUAUUGUUAUCGGAUUGGGCCUGUCCAUCCGUCAUUAUGGUGCUAGGGUUAGACUAUAAAUAUAACAUGCAUGUAUCGUUUUAGGGUUAAUGUUUUUGUAGCCCUACGUAUCUUUACAGAGAAGUUCUAAUCGAACUCUUAUAAGAUAUUGAUAAUAAAGCAUUCGACACACUUUCAGUCACAUUCAAUCUUUGUUCUUAUUGUUUAAUUCAACUAAACUGUUCUGAAUCUAUCGAUCACAAUUUUAUCCAACAAUUGGUAUCAGAACGGAUCUUUAAAGAUCAAUUGAUUUUGAAGUAUUCGUUCUUGAUUUGAUGAUUUUUUUCACAAGUUAUUGAAGAUUUUUGGUGUUUUGGCGGUUUGGAAUCAAAGUUUUUGUUCGUUCUACUGUUCGUGAAGAUCUAUGAUUUUCUUCUACUUUUUAUCUGUUCAUCUGGGUAAUUUAUUCCGAUUCAUAUUUUGUUUGUAUUUUCUAAUUGGAUCUGAUCAGUUGUUCAAUUCAUAAUCAAUAUAUAUUAUAUUGACAGAUCUAUUCCAUUGAUUUAGCCUACCGAUUUUUAAUCUAUAUUCAUUCAUCCGAUGACCUAUUGGUCUUGAGCCCAUCAUCACUGUUUACUGUUCAUUUGUUUCAUACAAAAAGCCCAUUGGUUUCUCUCACUGUUCGUUGAUUUGCUCUUAUAUCGCUAUUUGAAAUCACAAAGUUCUGAUCCGCAAGCGUUCAUUCCUUAUUCAUUCAACUUCAUGUCGAUUAAGCGUUCUUAUGGAUUUCAUAACUUUUGAUUUCUGUUUGAUUCGUUAAUCGCUUUGGUCAUGUUUUCGUGUUUUAGUCUUAACAUCGAUUUUGGUCUUAACAUCUCUUGUUAUCAAUAUGAUCGAUUGUGAUUUUAGGUCUAGAAUUGCCAUUCAAUAUUAAUUGGAGAUUCUUUUAGAUGAACUGACAGUUUGAGUUUAAGGAACUGAUGAAGAACGUAUGAAAAACGUUUUGCUAUUUUUAAAAUGGGUUCGAUCUGGAAAUUGUCUGGUGUAAAUCAAUUUGAUGUUUGUCAAGGUUCUAAAUGGGAACCGGAUGGGACUUUAAUUGGUUCUAAGAAUAUAUGAGAGACAAAAUUACAUAAAUGGUCCUCAUGGUUGACAAAAUCGACCAAUUAUGGUCCUUAUGACGAAUUCUUUACACAGAUGGUCCUUGUGGUUUCAAAAUCUUGCAAAGACGGUCCUUUUGACUAACGGACUUAACUUUUUCAGUUAAGUCCUAUGUGAAAUGACAUAUUUGCCCUUCAUGCAUAAGGACGCUUUAUGUAAUAUGUUUCUACCAUAGGGACCAUUUAUGUAAUUUUCUCUAUUAUUUAUUACUUUUUUUAUUUAUUUUAAUUAUAUAUUUAAGGAUUUAGAUUUGUUUAAAUUUAUUGUUAUAUAUAUAUGCAAACAUUUUUUAACGUUUUGCUCAAAUUAUUUUUUCUAAUCUUUUUAACAUUUUCUUCAAGUAAAUUUAUUAAUGUUUUUUAUUUUGACUUUUUAUUCGAAUAUUAUUUAUUUAUUUAUUUAUUUUUUUGACGUUAUGAAUACAUUUUUCAACUAUAUAAGGUUGUAUAAUUAUUAUUUUUGUAAACUAAUUUAUUAACAUUUUUUUUAUAAAAAAGUGUAAAAUGUUUGUUAAAUGUGAAUAGGAUUAGGUAGACAUAAGCUGAGCUGAGACCGCCUCACAACGUUGCCGAGAACGACCAGGUCAUUUCACAUUGAAUUUAAAUGUAAUUAUUUCGAGUUAUUAUUUUUUUUGUUUUUUAGCAGUGUUAUAAAAAAUCACAACGCAAGGGCCUUUAAUCGGUUAGGUAGCGCUUAUGGAUUAAUCUGAGAUUAAUCGGGACCUAGUUGUGAUUUUUUACAACACUGCUAAAAACAAAAAAAUAAUAACUCGAAAUAAUUACAGAAAUGACCCGGUCGUUCUCGGCAACGUUGUGAGGCGGUCUCAGCGUAGCCUAUGUCUACCUAAUCUAUAUUAAUCAUAUUCACAUUUAACAAACAUUUUACACUUUUUUAUAAAAAAUGUUAAUAAAUUAGCUUACAAAAAUAAUAAUUAUACAACCUUAUAUAGUUAAACAUUUGAAUUAAAAAAUAAUAAUUAUAUAACCUGAUAAAAGAAAAAAAAUGAAAACAUAGGUGAAAGUGAAUUAAGUUACGAAUUAUAAUUACAAUAGCCGUGAAAUCCUUUAACAAAUAUAAACAUACUAUAUGUUGAAAAAUGUAUUCGAACAUAACGUCAAAAAAAAAUAUUCGAAUAAAACGUCAAAAUAAAAAACAUUAAAAAAUUUACUUGAAGAAAAUAUCAAAAAGAUUAGAAAAAAUAAUUUGCGCAAAACAUUAAAAAAUGUUAGCAUGCAUGUGUGUAUGUGUGUGUAUAUAUAUAUAUAUAUAUUAAAAAAUAAAUUUAAACAAAUCUAAAUACUUAAGUAUAUAAUUAAAAUAAAUAAAAAAAAUAAUUAAUAAUAGAGAGAAUUACAUAAAUGGUCCCUGUGGUAUAAACAUAUUACAUAAAGCGUCCUUAUGCAUGAAGGGUAAAUAUGUCAUUUCACAUAGGACUUAACUGAAAAAGUUAACGCCGUUAGUCAAAAGGACCAUUUUUGCAAGAUUUUGAAACCACAGGGACCAUCUGUGUAAAGAAUUCGUCAUAAGGACCAUAAUUGGUCGAUUUUGUCAACCAUGAGGACCAUUUAUGUAAUUUUGUCUAUAUGAGAACAUAAUCAGAACAGUUCUUGUGAUAUUGAACAAUUUGGCAGUUGCAAUGAAAUCACGAUAUCGGAACUUAAAUCAACAGAAAUUGCGAAAUCGAUUUAGACUACGAUGCUCGGAAUAAAACCCAAUCGAAAAAAACUUUGUAUUUGGAUGAUUGUUGCCAAGUAGGUCUCGAAAUCAGAAUGAUUUGAGUAUAUGUUUGCAAUUGCUGGUCAAUUAGAAAGUCAAAAUUGGUACGAACGGACUCACCUGCGAACAUAAUCGGAAUCGAGAUAUGGGGCUCGCAAUCGGAACUUAAAAGAACUUGCUUGAUUCGGAUUUGUGAAGUGACAUGGCUUGAUUCAGAAUCAGAGUUGCUGUUGAUUCGCAAUCGGAAGUAUGAUCGAUUGAUUCGGAGCGAACCGACUCGCAAUCGGAAUUAUGAAUGGACUCGGAAUCGGCGUGUGAUGUUGAAUUGCUUGGCAUUCGGAACUGUGUGCUCGGAAGUCGGAACGAACGGUUAAUCGGAGUUGUUUGAUGUUUGGAUCUAGU